rnacentral:lncRNA from 1 species
AUAAGAAAUCUGCAGAAAAACAGAAAGGACGUUAAAUAAGAAUAUCUACUAUCAGGCAGAUUCAGUGUUGAAGAAUGGCUGAUUUUGACAAUAGCCUCAGCCUGCAAGAUGCUUUAACUGAAACACCACCUGAAAUUGAGGAAGAGAUAAAACGAGAUUUCAUGAGCACACUAGAAGCAGAACCAUAUGAUGAUGUGGUGGGAGAAACUGUGAGCAAAACAGACUACAUUCCCCUCCUGGAUGAUGAUGAUAAAACUGGGAACCCAGAGUCAAAGAGCAGACCUCAUCUGGAUGGUGGUCAGGUUGAAAGCACUACACCUACCAAACCAACAGUGUUAGCUAAUGGUGAUCAUGAAAUAGAAGAGAAUGAUGCCACUGAUCCUUAUCAGAUGUACCAAGAUAAUAUCUUGUCAGAUUUGUUGUUUGUCUCUCCUGGAUUGGUGAACACCUCACCAUUUGCAGAACAUUUGGAUUCUUCAAAAGACAAUAUUGCAGUUGAGCCCUCCUAUGAAUCAUUUGUUUCAAGAACUGAGACAGGAUCAGGAGGAUGGCCCAUGGAAGCCCAGAACCCUUCAGACUCAUCCCCCUUUGUCUUCCUGGAAUCUAAUCCUCAGCCUCUCCAGCCCACAACAGAGCCAAUCAAGGAGGUAGAGAUGGAGGUAGAAUUAACCAAGGAGGCAUUAUCAGUAAAAGAGGUGGAAAUGAACCUGGCACCUUCCAUGGAAGUGGAGAAAGCACCAGUAAUGGAAAGUCAGCCAUUUAUAGAGGUGGCAUCAGUCAAGGGGGAGGAUGAACCAGCUAUGGAGAUGGCAUCAUCCAAGGGGGUGGAAGAUGAACUAGCCAUGGAGGUGGCAUCAAUCAAGGAGGAAGAGAAUAAACUAGCUUUGGAGGUAACCCCAGACUUAAGGGCUCAGACAGAACAAGUCGCAGAAAUGAUACCAACUGAACAGACCCAAGAAGUCCCAUGUGUGGAUAUGGAACUUGCCAAGGAGAACCAGGCGAUCCCAGCCAAGGAGUCCCAGGUGGUGCCAGCUGUUGAGGUGGUAAAGAUACCAGCUGUGGAGGUCGAACAAACUAAGGAAGCCCAGCUGGCACCAGUCAUGGAACUGACACUGACCAAGGACAUAGAGGCAAUAACAACCCCAGCCAAGGAUGUGGAAGUAGAGAAAAUGAGUGAACCUCAGAGACUGGCAUCUCCCCAGGCUGAAGAAAGCUGUGUUUUCAUGGCCUCCCCAGAGUCCCCUAAGAUACCCGGCAUGGACAGUUUGGAACCACUGCAGGAACAGGUACUGCCUGGAGUUGUUUCUCCUAACACAGAACCAAGAACAGAUUCCAAAGUGGAUGAUUCGAAUUACUUUGAACAAACAGGUAAAUGCUAG